UUGUAUCAAAAGCUAAGCAAUCUUAUUACAUACUUUUUAGUUGAGUCUUUGUCUCCAUUACCUAUUUCAACAAUUAUUUUUCAUAUAGUUUCUUUGCAGUUGUUGUCGUCUAGCUUGUGGCACCGAUAUGUUAAUAAAUGAGAGAGAGAGAGAAUUGUUUAUCUGUUGAGGCUCUUGACUCAAGAGAUAUCCCGUUGGAACUCAAAACAUCAUGGUAUAACACCCACCACCCCAACCACCAAUGGCUUGAGUGGUUUCUUGAUGGGCUAUGUCUUCAUAUGCAACUUUAUGGCAAACGCAGUACCAAUACCAAAGUGAGAAGCUGCAAUUUUAUGGCAAAUGCAGUGCCAAAGUGAAGGCCUCUCUCUCUCUCUCUUUGAAGGCCGAAAAAAUUAGAGAGCUGUUCUUCAAAUCUAAACUUUUGCAAACACUAAUUCAAAGCUAUAGAAAAUUUAAACCAAGGGGAAACAUAAUUUUUUAAAUAUCCCGAUCAUAACUACAAACGCUUCAACAUAGAUCUAGAAUGCACACCCACCAUUCAUCUCAAAAGCAGAUCAAAAAAUACAAACCAAUUAUUUGUCCCCCAAAUAAUCUAGACAAGGAAGAUCACAACAUAAGAAGGAAUAAAAAACUAAUCAUUGUUAUUAGUGAUUAAGUUGACGACUUGGGAAGCAGUCCACAACAGUCCUGGCUCGUUCCUUCGCCUGUACAAGGGCUCAGCAAGCUCGUAGUGCGGUCGAAGAGGCACCGAGCCUCCUGAGACAGAGCUGAAUGCGGGUUUAGGCACGGGCUCGGGGUCGGCAAGCUCACCUUGGGCAUGCGCAUGGGGCAUGGGCAAGCACAUUAGCAUGGUCACAAGGGCCAUAACCACUAGCUGGGUUGUAUCACCCAUGUUGGCCCUCUCCUCAACCACGAUUUCCCAACAAAGCAUUGAAUAGCGGGGGGUUUGAGUUAUAUAGGAGGCCCUUAAAUUUGGACCAACCGCGUGGUGAUCACCAAAUUUGGAGGUUAAGGACACCAGAAUUGCCGAAAGUACCCUUGCAUUCUAAUGGUAAGGCAAGGUGUUUCAAUUUGGCCAAACCGGAAUUGCCUGGUUCGAAUUGGAUGGCGGUCGAGGUCUAAGGAAGCUUAGAAUGAUUCUCACAGCUUUGAUUUUUUUUGGUUAUAUUUCUAUAUGACCUGCAGAAUUAGUCGAGAUUGCUAGUUACAAAUCUGUUUUGGUGGGUAAUGGAUCGAACCUGAUCUGGGUUCUAAAACAGGAUAGGUGCAACAAAUUGAAAGGCAUUUUGGCCCCUUCUUUUUUUAGUUACGAUUAUUGACAUGUCUAACCUGCAGAAUGGGUCCGAGUUGCGAAUCCAAAUCCCUUUGGUGGGUAUUGGAUCGGAACCGG
rnacentral:lncRNA from 1 species